ensembl:lncRNA
CGCUGAUAAGGCAGCCUGAUUGCAGGGGAGGAUGUGGUUCCAGGGGAGAUAAGAGCGGGGGCGGUGAUUUUUUGGAACGGUCGCCUCAGGUCACCCUCUGGUUUCUGAGAGGCCCAGUUUGGUGCCAGUCUUGGCACCCACGCGCCCCCACCACUAGCGUCUGAUAUUCACAGUGUGCCUUUCCUGAUAAAGCCUUCCGCCUCAGCCUUCAUCCCACCAUGGAGCAGGGGUGGUUAUCCGCAUUCCCAGAGAGGAAUCCUGCACCCGACAAAGGCAAGCCACUAGGUCAUUUCCAACUCUUUUGCGACCCCAUGGAGUGUAGCCUGCCAGGCUCCUCUGCCCGUGGAAUUUCCCAGGCAAGGAUGCUGGAAUGGGUUGCCAGUUCCUACUUCCGGGGAUCUUCCUAACCCAGGGAUCGAACCCAGGUCUCCUGCAUUGGCAGUAAAAUUCUGCAAGGAGUUAGAUGCCUUUCCUAUGUCUCCAUCGCACAGGAAUCUUUCUCAGAUUGCAGGGAUCAAGACACACAUUCUGGGGCUUCCCUGGUUGUCCAGUGCUUAAGACUUCACCUUCAAUGCAGGGGAUAUGAGCUUGAUCCCUGGUCUGACAGCUAAGAUAUCACAUGCCUCAUGGACAAAAAAUGAAAAACAUUAAAGAGAAGCAAUAUUGUAACAAAUUCAAUGAAAACUUUAAAAAUGGUCCACACUGUAAAAAAAAAAAAAG